GUCCUUUCCCUUCUUUCCAGCGAGGUGUGGCCACCCGUCCCCUAUCCCCUCGCGCACGCGCGGCCCCUACAAAAAGCCCCGCGAUCCCACGCUUCCCUAUCGCACGUCGCUCCUCUCCCGCCAAUCCCCGCCUCUAGUCGGACCCGCCGUUCCUCCGAGAAAAUGGCUGCACUGCAACCCUCAUUUCCAUCGACGAUGACUAUGAAGAGUAGCUGCAACGGUCUGAAGUUCCCAAAAACUGCACUUUUACCUGGUUUUGGUGGCAUUUCACGUCCUCAAGAUGCGCAGGACAGGAAUGGUAGCCUUGCUUCUUUAAUCCCCAAGGUUGCUUCAGUGACUGACCAAUCAAUAGCAGAGCCAGCAAAACCCAGGCAAAAGAAGCAUACAGUCGACCCUACAGCUCCAGAAUUUCUGCCACUCCCAUCAUUUGAAGAAUGCUUUCCAAGGAGUACCAAAGAAUCCAGUGAAAUCGUUCACGAGGAAUCCGGUCAUGUCCUCAAGGUUCCAUUCCGGAGAAUCCAUUUGACUGGAGAUCAGAAGCAUUUUGAUACAUACGACACCAGUGGUCCUCAAAACAUAAGCCCAAGGAUUGGACUCCCAAAGAUAAGGAAGGAAUGGAUUGACAGGAGGGAAAAGAUAGGUAGUCCUCGUUACACACAAAUGUAUUAUGCUAAGCAUGGAAUCAUAACAGAGGAGAUGUUGUACUGUGCCAAGCGUGAGAACCUCAGUCCUGAAUUUGUUCGGUCAGAAGUGGCCCGUGGACGAGCCAUAAUUCCUUCCAACAAGAAGCACCUGGAAUUGGAACCCAUGAUUGUUGGAAGAAACUUCCUCGUAAAGGUGAAUGCAAAUAUUGGGAACUCAGCUGUUGUGAGCUCCAUCGAGGAGGAAGUUCACAAGCUCCAGUGGGCAACAAUGUGGGGAGCUGAUACUGUCAUGGACCUUUCAACAGGGAACCAUAUCCAUGAGACCCGAGAGUGGAUUAUCCGUAACUCUUCAGUUCCUAUUGGGACUGUUCCUAUUUACCAAGCACUUGAGAAAGUAAAUGGUAUUGCUGAAAAUCUGAGCUGGGAAAUCUUUAGGGAUACCUUGAUUGAACAAGCUGAGCAGGGUGUUGAUUACUUCACAAUCCAUGCUGGUGUCCUGCUUCGUUACAUUCCUCUUACAGCAAAGAGAAUGACUGGCAUAGUUUCACGUGGUGGCUCAAUACAUGCAAAAUGGUGCUUAACUUAUCACAAGGAGAACUUUGCUUAUGAGCACUGGGAUGAAAUUCUUGAUAUAUGCAAUCAGUAUGAUGUGGCACUAUCUAUUGGUGAUGGUUUGAGACCUGGUUCUAUUUAUGAUGCAAAUGAUAGUGCUCAGUUUGCAGAGCUGCUGACUCAAGGUGAACUAACACGUCGAGCAUGGGAGAAAGAUGUGCAGGUAAUGAAUGAAGGUCCAGGGCACAUCCCAAUGCAUAAAAUUCCUGAAAACAUGGAGAAACAGCUGGAGUGGUGUAAUGAAGCGCCUUUCUAUACAUUGGGUCCACUGACAACUGACAUCGCACCUGGUUAUGAUCACAUCACCUCAGCCAUUGGUGCUGCCAACAUUGGAGCUCUUGGCACCGCACUUCUUUGUUAUGUAACACCAAAGGAGCACCUUGGGUUGCCUAACCGUGAUGAUGUUAAAACAGGCGUGAUAUCCUACAAAAUUGCUGCUCAUGCUGCUGAUUUGGCAAAGGGUCAUCCCUAUGCACAAGCUUGGGACGAUGCACUCAGCAAGGCAAGGUUUGAGUUUAGAUGGCUGGACCAGUUUGCUUUAUCUCUGGAUCCAGUAACUGCUAUGGCUUUCCAUGAUGAAACAUUACCAUCUGAGGGUGCCAAAGUAGCACAUUUCUGCUCAAUGUGUGGGCCCAAGUUUUGUUCGAUGAAAAUCACAGAGGAUAUUAGAAAGUAUGCUGAUGAACAUGGUUACGGAACAGUGGAGGAAGCUGUGAGAGAAGGAAUGAAUGCUAUGAGUGCUGAAUUUUCGGCUGCAAGGAAAACAAUUAGUGGGGAACAACAUGGUGAAGCAGGAGGGGAGAUCUACGUACCAGAAAACUAUGCAGCUCACAAAUAAGAUCACCUUGGAGCCAUCCAUUCCAAGUGAUGCAGAUUUGCUGGCUAGCGCAUUCUUCAGCAGCAAUUCCACCAUCUUAUGUGAGGUGGGGUGCCUGUGUUCUCAACGAUCUGAAGGCACCUUGGCCUGGAUUGUUGUGAGAUGGGCUGAGAAAGUCCCUUUGAACCUGAACAGGAUAAUGCCUGCGAAGGGAGUGUGCAAUUCUAUUUUCAUGUUUUCCAGGAACAUGUCAACCUUUUGGUGGAAAUUGAGCUACCAACUGUCCGUGAAUGUGCAGAGCUCAGCAACUAGGUCUGCCUGUUCCCUACAUCUGAGGUAACAUGGUAGCAUUCCAUGAUCUUCUUACAUGAUUUCACCAACCAGCUGUGUGCUAGCAUUUUUCCAAGAGAAGAGGAAUUUUUAUAGGUACAGUUUCACCAUGACACUUGACAAAUUUAGUCAUUCCUAUGGCUCAUUUAGUUAAAUCAAUAUGUUCAUGAAAUUUCGCAAAGCAUUUGCUAAUCCUAUUAUAUAUAAUCUAUGUCUAUCGACAUAUAUUUACAGUAGAAAGUAUAUAACAAGAUAUCUAAAACUGCUACAGAUUAGGUCUUUUCGCUGCAUCCUGCUCGUCAAUUGAGGGUUAGUACCAACCAGAUUCCAUUUGACCUGAUCAUGCCAUCAUGUGGAAGUAAUCUAUUAAGAAAUAACUAGGAGAGUUGUUACUUUCAACUAGUUUUGGUCCUUCCCAUUGGGAUGGUCAGAUAUUGUCGUUCAAAAUACCAUAAAACUCUAGCUUUGCAAAAAAAUUUUGUAAAAUUCUACUAUGUGGACAGUUUUGAAGUUCAGCAUUAUGCGUAGUUGUUUACAUAGUAUAUUUUCUGAAAGCAGAGGCUGGAUCUACAAACGCCAGUAAAUUCAAAAAUAGAAAUAGAUUGCAGGUUAUUGCAUUGGUGGAUAAUAAUAGCAGUUUUACCUUCUGCGAAUGCAUGUUUCUAAUGUAUUGCUGUUCGCUCCACUUUUCGGGUAUAAACUAUACCAUUGCCAUAUUCCAAUAAUCCAAUUGCCAUGACUGACGCAAGAUGUCAAGGGAAAAUAAUGUCAGUGAAGGGAAACAGUUUUGAAAGUUGCUGUGGCUGGAGUUUUACGCUUUCUGUGGUACCAAUGAACAUACUCAUUUACAGCUUGGAAAAAAAUGUCGGUGCUCCUAUGGUGUGGUCUCAAAUUCCUAGAGAUGAGCUAGGCACACCCGAUAAGGGUUUCCGGCUUCCCUAGCAAAUUCAGAUGUUAACUAUUUAUAAACUUCCUUUCUAAUUUAUUUCGAUCUCUGUCUGGCUUUCUCCUUGAUUAUAAAUUUCGAUGUGGAAUAAAGCCAUCCUGCUUCACUGAUCUA